UGGCCUUAACAUUACAAGUAUUCAUAUUCUCCUCAAAAACCCCUCAUCCGUCUUCUAUUUCCUCAUGAUUCUCUGUAAUCUUGAGGUAGUAAUGCAAUGUUCGACUCCUGUGAAGCCUUGAAGCAACUUUUUCCCUCUCCUUGUGACAGAAUCGGGCAGCCAUCAAACCCCACCUUCUUCCUCUUCUUCCAUCUAUUAUUCAUCUUCUUCAUUUGCCCCUUUUUCCCAAAACCCUUACAUUUUCGAAAACCCCAAUCAUCUUCCUUUCAUUCUUGAUUUCGAAGCAAACUAGCAACCAAAAACAUGAUCUCAUUCUGUCUCGGUUUUGAAUUGUAGUUAAACCCAGUUUCUCUCAUCUUUUCUGAAUUUCGAGAGUGCUUUUGGCAAAUACAAGAACCAUUAUCUAAUUUCUUGGGUUGAUUUCUUUGGUGUACGACUGGGUCAGUGUAGGUGCAAGCUGAGGCAACAUCUCAAGGCUAAAUUCAUGCAGUCUAUCUUUCUAAAGAACCAAAUAUUAACAUUUCCUCAGGUUUCCUAUGAUUUCUCGGCCAAUCAACAGCAACUUCCUUCGUUUCGGUUGCCACUGGUUUCGAAGUGGAAACGAUUUCUCUGCGCGCUCUUUCUAGUUGAUAGCUGCGAAUCGAUCACAGCUCUUUGAAGCGUCUUGUUGUUUGAUCACAGAUCGAAACCGAUCGGGAACGAUGGGUUAGCGAUGCUGAAUAACGUUCCAAGGAUGUAUAUUGAGUUAAGCACGUAGGAAUUUGUAGGUUUGUAUUAGGAUUUUGGAUAAAUGUAUAUUAGAUUUGGUUGUGUUGGUUAUAUUGGACUUGUAGAGGAAUGUAUGAUUAUCUUGUGUGUUAGUAAAAUGUUUGGUUUGAGAUUUAGCUGAGUUAGUCACGUUAAAGAGCUUGUGACCCUUUGCUCAAGUUUUGGAAGUGUGAUUUCAAUUUCUUGGGAAAUGAACCCCGUGAUGACCCUGUUUACUCAGUCAACGGUAAGUCGGGUUGUUACAGUUAAUCGUCCUCGUUUUUAAUUGAAACAUCGGUUAAUGAAGUGUUUUGAGUACUGGAAGUGCUUGUUGGUUCAUUUGUUAUGUAAUAUGGAGUGUUAAAUUAUUUUAAUGCAGGGUAUGAAAUGUUUAAUGUUCAAGAGUUUGAGGUAAAAUAGGAAAAAUGCUGCAGACAAAACCGUCAUUUAAAGUGGCGGUUUAUAUGUAAGGUGAACUGCCAUUUGCAGUAGCGGUUAAUCAAUUUGCAAAAA